rnacentral:rRNA from 1 species
UACGGAGGGGGUUAGCGUUGUUCGGAAUGACUGGGCGUAAAGGGCGCGUAGGCGGGAUGGCAAGUCGGUCGUGAAAUCCCUCGGCUCAACUGAGGUACGUCGAUCGAUACUGCCGUUCUUGAGGGUUGCAGAGGAGACUGGAAUUCCCGGUGUAGCGGUGAAAUGUGUAGAGAUCGGGAGGAACACCGGUGGCGAAGGCGGGUCUCUGGGCAACUCCUGACGCUGAGGCGCGAAAGCGUGGGGAGCAAACGGG